rnacentral:rRNA from 1 species
CUACGGGGGGCUCCAGUAAGGAAUAUUGGGCAAUGGACGCAAGUCUGACCCAGCCAUGCCGCGUGCAGGAUGACAGCCCUACGGGUUGUAAACUGCUUUUGUACGGGAAAAAUUCCCUGGUCGUGUACCGGGGUUGAUGGUACCGUAAGAAUAAGCAUCGGCUAACUCCGUGCCAGCAGCCGCGAUAAUACGGAGGAUGCAAGCGUUAUCCGGAUUUAUUGGGUUUAAAGGGUGCGCAGGCGGAAUGAUAAGUCAGUGGUGAAAUCCUACAGCUUAACUGUAGAACUGCCAUUGAUACUGUUGUUCUUGAGUACAGUUGUAGUGGGCGGAAUGUGUCAUGUAGCGGUGAAAUGCUUAGAGAUGACACAGAACACCGAUCGCGAAGGCAGCUCACUAAACUGUAACUGACGCUCAGGCACGAAAGCGUGGGGAUCAAACAGGAUUAGAUACCCCGGUAGUC